GAUGAACGCUGGCGGCGUGCCUAAUACAUGCAAGUCGAACGAUGAAGUCCUUCGGGAUGGAUUAGUGGCGCACGGGUGAGUAUACCAUAGAUAAUGUACCUCUUAGUUCGGGAUAGCCACUGGAAACGGUGAUUAAUACCGGAUACUCCUUCUUGUCUUAAGACGAGUCGGGAAAGUUUUUUCGCUAAGAGAUCAGUCUAUGUCCUAUCAGCUAGUUGGUGAGGUAAUGGCUCACCAAGGCUAUGACGGGUAUCUGGUUUGAGAGGAUGAUCAGACACACUGGAACUGAGACACGGUCCAGACUCCUACGGGAGGCAGCAGUGAGGAAUAUUGCACAAUGGAGGAAACUCUGAUGCAGCAACGCCGCGUGGAGGAUGACGCAUUUCGGUGUGUAAACUCCUUUUAAGGGGGAAGAUAAUGACGGUACCUCUUGAAUAAGCACCGGCUAACUCCGUGCCAGCCGCCGCCGUAAUAC
rnacentral:rRNA from 1 species